AGCGAACGCUGGCGGCAGGCCUAACACAUGCAAGUCGAACGAACUCUUCGGAGUUAGUGGCGGACGGGUGAGUAACACGUGGGAACGUGCCUUUUGGUUCGGAAUAACUCAGGGAAACUUGUGCUAAUACCGAAUGUGCCCUUCGGGGGAAAGAUUUAUCGCCAUUAGAGCGGCCCGCGUCUGAUUAGCUAGUUGGUGAGGUAACGGCUCACCAAGGCGACGAUCAGUAGCUGGUCUGAGAGGAUGACCAGCCACACUGGGGCUGAGACACGGCCCAGACUCCUACGGGAGGCAGCAGUGGGGAAUCUUGCGCAAUGGGCGAAAGCCUGACGCAGCCAUGCCGCGUGAAUGAUGAAGGUCUUAGGAUUGUAAAAUUCUUUCACCGGGGACGAUAAUGGCGGUACCCGGAGAAGAAGCCCCGGCUAACUUCGUG
rnacentral:rRNA from 1 species